rnacentral:rRNA from 1 species
GGGGGGGGGGGGGGGGGGGGGGGGGGGGUGCGGGGGGGGGGGGGGUUGGAGGGGAGGUGGUUCGGAGGGGCGGUUGGAGUUCUAGCGGCGGGCGGGUGAGUGGCGCGGGAAGAAUCUGUCCGGGACAGGGUGAUAAGCGGUGGGAACAGGGGCUCAUACCUCGUCAGACCACGGACGCGGAUCGGGGUGCGGUAACAGAAGCAAUCCGGUUCGGGGUGAGUUCGCGUCCGAUUAGCUAGUUGGUGAGGUAACGGCCCACCAAGGUGACGAUCGGUAGCCGGCCUGAGAGGGUGAACGGCCACAUUGGAACUGAGAGACGGUCCAAACUCCUACGGGAGGCAGCAGUGGGGAAUAUUGGGCAAUGGGCGAAAGCCUGACCCAGCAACGCCGCGUGAGGGAAGAAGGUUUUCGGAUUGUAAACCUCUGUCCUAUGGGACGAAGGAAGUGACGGUACCAUAGGAGGAAGCCCCGGCUAACUACGUG